rnacentral:lncRNA from 1 species
UAAUUAUUAGUCGUUAUAAUUCAUAUCAUUUUGCAAUAUUAAAAAAAGUUAUGUAUUAAAGGGUCAAAAGAUUGGUUUUCACAAUGGGCACUGGGGUCAAUUUAUAGGAUUUUUCUUAAAUAUCUACAUACUUGUUUAAAUUUGCCAUAAUAUUAGUUGAAUUUUAAAAAUUCACCGGGGUCAGUUGACCCCCAUGGUUGUAUGCUGCCUCCGCCCAUGC